UCCCUUCUCCUCCCCCUUCCUCUCCUCUUUACCCUCCCCCUUCUCUGGAUAUUGUCUCAACAUGUAAGCUAUCAACUAUUAAUCCAAUACCAUCCCUGCCUGUCCGCUGCCAUGCUCCCUGUCAUGAUGGUCACAGACUCUUAACCCUCUGAAACUGUAAGCAAGCCCCCAAUGAACUCUUUCUUCUGAAAGUCACCUUAGUUAUGAGUCUCUUCACAGCAACAGAAAAGUAACUCAGACACCAGUGAAUUCUGUCAAAACAAGUUUGGUGAGCACUACCAGGAGAAUGGGAUUAUAAGGAAAGAAGUCAUUCAGAACAAUGGGAUGGGACUUCGGGGAAACCUCUGUAUGAGAUUUUGUGAAGGAAUGCAGGCUUGUCACUCAGGGUUUUGCCAGGGAAAGGAGCUACAGCAGUCCCCAAGAUUAAGAUAUACAGUCCAAGAAACAUUUUAUAAGGUAUAAAGUUGAUUUUUAAAAAGGAUCACUAAAAGGAAGGAAGGAAGCUCAGAGACAUGACUACAUCCCAUAAGGAUCAAGGUAACAAAGGAAGGAACCAUGGUUACUAAAACACAGAAGUUCAGAGGAGGUGAUGCAAGCCAGCUGGUGCUGAUGCUGGCAUCUCUCAUGAGACUGGGUCAUCCAUGAGUUCAGAAAACAAAACACCAUAGACUGGAUCUGGAAGGGGGAAUCUUAAGACAGUCACAGGAACAGGCAGCCACUAGCAAGCGGUUAAGUCUCCCCUUUCUGUCGCAGCCUCCCCCCACCCCAACACAGAAAGCCUCCCCUACAGACAGAAUCUGUCAGGGAGUAGAGAAUGUGCCUCACGGUAGAAAUAUGGUUGACAGAAUCUCAGGCACAGCAUCAUGAAGACAAAUACAAAGGGCUGAAUUUGCAGCCAAGAGACAUCAAUUUAAUAGCUGGCUAGUGUGGGCAAAAAGAAAGAGGGCCAUUUUCACAAUUACUUUACAGAAGAAGAUUCUCCUGUCCCUGUAAGCCUAGGAAGACGAAGCCCAGGGAGAUCAAGCAAUCUGUGAAAGGUCACACAGUAGCGGAUAGACCUGGAUGAGCUAGUGCUUGUUCUGCAUUAGCUUCAGCCCUCACCGUGGACUUGGCAGAGCCUGCAUCUGAUUGAGGUGCCACUGACGACGGUCUGCCCUGGAUGGAGGAGGGAGCGGUUGAAUCACAGCCUCGAGAACACAUGAGAAACCUUCCCAGCCAUCUCUCCAUCAGGCUAAUGAUCCAAAGAAUACUGAGGAGGCAGAUAAGGCACAGUGACUACAGCAGAGUUGCCCUUGAUGUUCUGAGACCACCCCAGACCAGCUGAUCCAAUUCACCCAGAUGACCAACCAAGCAGGUGAGACCAACAGAGUUGUUUGAUUGAGUCUUCAUCUCGCUGCAGCUUCGCGAGUUAACAGAGAUUAGUGAUCCAUACACUCGUGAAAUGAAUGCUUAAUGUUUCAAGUCAGAGCCAUGUGAUUGUUACCUGGGACUCUGUGGUGAAUAAGCAAACUGAUCUGCUGUAUCCAAAGCAAAGUUAGGAGCUAUGCCACCGUGCACAGAAGAAGGCAGCAUCAGGUACCGUGGAGUAGGAAGUUAUGGACAGGAGCAGUUCCUAAGACGGACCAGUUCUAACCUGCUUUUGCUUUCCUGUUUUUCUCCUCUGCUCCUGUAGAAUGCUUCCCAGCAUUAGUCUCAAUCAUUAAAUCCUGGAGAAAGAGUAUGAUUUGUGCAUUAUGGGACUGUAAUUCACCUCUACCACCUUGACAGUGAUUGACACUCUCAAAUCCUACACCAAGGGUUUGGGUAGCUGUCCAAAGAGAUACAGAAGUACAACGGCUCCAAAAUGAACCAUGAGUCCAGGGCAGACAUGAGGAACAGCAUCUCCUACAAGCUCUGGAUCUUCCUUCAGGUUUUAUAGCACACAUUUGUCCAUGAGCCAGGACACAGGCAGUGCUGGCUGCGGCUGGAUGACAGAUUGAGCAUCCAAAAGAUUCUCCAACAAUUGGAAUUGAAGCCCAAAUCUAGCAAGAUGAAAUUAAAUAUGGAUUAAUGUGAAGGCCUGCACUUGUGUUCAGAGGAAGGAACAGCUGGUGGGGGCUGAGAUCAGGACGCCGGUGGUUAAUGGUAGUUUAUGUGGAAAGAUUAAAAGCUCAGAAUGUGCCAACAAUGAGAAGAUGUCCAAGAUGCUGCUGGGCUAAAGAGAUGGCUAAGAACUGGUGUGGCCUUCAUGGGCAGCUCUGAACUAUACAGCCACUCUGUCACCUAAUAGACUAAGACUCUGAGUGCCUAGCACACACCAGACUAGCUUGCACCAGUUAUAAUGUCUUGUUUAACUAACACACACACAGUGCUAUUAUUCCCAUCUUCCUCAUGAUGAAGCAAAGUAAGGGGAGGUUAAGUAACUUUCCCAAGGAUACACAACUUUGAUGGAGCCUUGGAACCCAAUCCAAAUGACUCCACAUCUUAUGCUCAUGAGCCCUGAGUCACCUGACCUCAAGAAGUGUGUCAAUUACACAAGGGAGAGAUUGGUGAGGUGCACUUAGUCUGUCCCAUGAAUUUAAAGACUCUUUCAUUCUGGAAGGUAUCAGAGUCACCAUUUCAAACAUGAGAGUCCGUGGGAAAGAACUGGAGCAUGCUGGGGCAGUAGCUGAAGAAACGCGGUCCCCCUGCAUCCGUACUUUGAGAGUGAGACGUCAGGAUGAAGUCUAUUCUGCUUAGCUGCUGGAGCUGGUGCUGGAGCAGUGGGUUUACAGCGACAUAGCUUCAUCUCAGAGUUCUGAAGAUCUUUCUGGUGUAGACUGUACUUAUACCAAACCUCAGAACACAAAUAUUAUACCAUUUACUAGACUUUUAUUAUGUGCUAAGAAUUUCUCAGUCGUGACACAGAAAGGCAUUUUCAUAAUAAAAAUCACAAGACUGGUUACUAUUACAUUGCUUACUCUAUACGAAUCGCUGCACAAUUUUAAGAAAAGGUUGCCAGCAUUAUCUCCACUUCAUAAACCACAAUAUGCAGCACAGAGAGGCUAAGAAAUCACCUAAGGUCACACAGCUAGAAAGAGGCAGGAUCCCUGUGUGAAACCAAGUUGCUCAACCCCUAGCUAGAGUCCCUGCUAUACUGGUGGCUGUGGGUCUCCUGGGAUAGCAGGGAGCGGUGGAGGCAUCUAGACACUAGAAAGUCAGCAUCCUCCUCCACGGAGUGCACUAGAAUGAAAAUCAAAGCCUCGUGGCAACCCUGGAAUCUAAAGCCCAGGGGCACAUUGCUUAAUUCUGGAGACUAGGAACAGACACAUACAGCCCUGCUCUGUGGGACUGUGCAGGGGGUCCUACCCGAUCUGGGCUCUGGCUGUGCGACCAGGAUGUUCCACACAGCGGGCUCCCGCCCUGCUGGGCCUGGCUCGAUGUGUUUUAUUAAAAAGCAGCAUUUAUCCGGCCUGCUCCUGGCAGGGCUGCGGCUGCAGUUUAUUAGGACAUCAUUUGGAGUGUAAAUUGUUGCUGGUUUAUAAAAAGGCUCUCGCAGAGCAGCUCCGCUGGGAUGGCCUGGAUCCGCAGCUCGAGGCAGACAGGCUUUAACGAAAUCAUUGAUUUCCCUCUGAAGCAGCAGCGGGCAGGAGCCUCGCCCAGCUGUUUAGCUGCCUACACCCUGUUCCUGGAGGGCAAAGUGGCAAGACUUCUUCCAGCUGUGUUGACAGCGCGUUCUCCUGCUGAAUCCCAGAUUCCCAAAGGCCAGUA